UGUGGGAGCGAGCCUGCUCGCGAAAGCGGUUUGUCAGUGACAUCAAUGUUACUGACAGACCGUAAUCGCGAGCAGGCUCGCUCCCACA
rnacentral:antisense_RNA from 1 species